UUUUUUUUUGUCUUUUUGCCAUUUCUUGGGCUGCUCCCGCAGCAUAUGGAGGUUCCCAGGCUAGGGGUCGAAUCGGAGCUGUAGCCGCCAGCCUACACCAGAGACACAGCAACACGGGAUCCGAGCCACGUCUGCAACCUACACCACAGCUCACGGCAACGCCGGAUCCUUAACCCACUGAGCAAGGCCAGGGAUUGAACCCGCAACCUCAUGGUUCCUAGUCAGAUUCAUUACCCACCGAGCCACAAGGGGAACUCCUAAAUGACUCUCAUCUCUUUAGAGAAAUAUUCUGGUAUAUUUACAGGUAAAAUAAUAUUCUGUUUAGUAUUUGCUUCAAAUAAAUAUGGUAGAGGGCAGGUGAGUAGAAGUAUAGAUGAAAUAAUACUGGUCACAAUUAGGUAACUGAAGAAGCUGGAUAAUAUAUAAGUCCAAAAUCUUCUAUUACAAAAAAAAUCUCAACUUUUUUUUUUUCUGGUCUUUUUAGGGCUGUACCCAUGGCAUAUGGAGGUUCCCAGGCUAGGGGUCAAAUUGGAGGUAUAACUGCUGGCCUACACCACGGCCACAGCAACACAGGAUCCGAGCUGCAUCUGAGACCUACACCACAGCUCACAGCAACGCUGGAUUCCUUAACUCACUGAGCAAGGCCAAGGAUCAAACCUGCGGCCUCAUGGAUGCUAGUCAGAUUCAUUUCCCCUGAGCCACGAUGGGAACUCCUCAAAUUUUUUUAAGAGUCAAAAUAUUGAUAUGCAAGUUCUAAAUCUGGCUCUGACAUCAUUCUGUUCUAUACUUAUAUAGACCAAUCACUUCUCUCUGGGCUUUUUUUUUUUUUUUUCUCUCUGGGCUUUUAACUUUCUCUACAAAAUAUGAAAUACAAAACUCAUUCCAGUACACUUUCCAUUAUAGCCACUCAUGAGCUAUGUGACAUGGAAAGUUAUUUAAUCUUUUUAAGCCUCAGUCUCCUUAUGUGUAAAAGGUGAUGAAAACAGUAGCCAGUUUUUAGGUCUACUGUGUAAGUUAAAGUGGGUACUGUAUGUUAAAAGCCCUCAUCAUAACACUUGGCACAAAGUAAGCACUCAAUAAACAUUACCUAACAUUACUCUUACCACCUCUUGCUGCUUCUAAAAAAUACCAAUAGAUGAAUUCUAUACAUUUUUAAUGAAAAAAUUGUAUAGUUUAUUAUUUCCUUUUCCUUUCCUUCUCCAUAUCUUUAUUUAGGACAAAGGCAGGAAAAUCUGAAACCUCCGCUCUAAAAUUCUUUGCAUCAGUGUACCCAACAGCACAAGCCAGGAGAGAAAGAGGUUGGCUCUCCUCAGCAAGAGUCAUUGCUCUGGGUCUGGAAAAACAGAGGCGCCACUUUCAUCAUUUUCAGAAUAUAGUAUGCAGCUGUUCUUCUGGUAUGCCACACAUCCUGAGGUUGCUCCCAAGGGCUAAAAACAGAGCUCAGGCGAUUAGCCCAAAGCAGCCAAGAUCAUUCUUUUUCAAGGUGGCCCCAUUUCAAAUAUAAUGAGCACUUUGUACGUAUCCCUUUUCUAAACAAGAGUUGGUUUUCUUCAGCAGACUGUGAGCUCCCUGAGGGGAGGACUAUGUCUAGUUUAUCUGUGUAUUCCUAGCGAAGCACCUCGGAUAGAACAGGUACUCAAUAAAUAUUUGCUGAAUGAUAGGAUUAAAUGUUUAUUCUUUUAUUUGGUGUGGGGCAGGAAUGGAAAAGGAACAUUGAUAGGCACACAAAGAAUCCACUGUUGGAAGAAUCUUUCUAACAAUUGUUGUCAGGGUGUACAAACUCAUUCACAACUUUCAAUUCAUUUCCCUGUUUCCCGCUACUUCCCACUAUACACCUUUUCAAAAUUUCCUCCACUCCCAUAAACUACCAAAUACACCCUGAAUAUACCUCCUCCUGAACCUGAGUUUAUACUAUUCCCUCCACCUCUUAUCUCUCUCUCACUUUAAUAUAUACAUCCCUCAAGAAGGCUUCAGAACCUCCCUUUCCAAGAAGCUUUUCUCAACCAUGGUAGCUUAAAGGGGUAUCUUUCUGACUUCCUAUAAAACCGUCAAUUUAGCUUUAAGCACUCAUUAUUUUGUAUGCUGUGGUUAGCUGCAGAGGUUUCAUAACGUCAAGAUUGAGGGGAAAGGGUUAUCUUAGGAUUUCUUAGGCAUCCAGCAUAGGGCUUUGUGAAUACCAUGCAUCUGAUGAGCGUUCAGUGCACUCACGAGCUAAACUUUGCAGAAUAAGUAAUACAACCCAAUUUAAAGUAUAAAACAAGUGAGCCUUAAAAAUGGUGUUUUAACUCCAAAUGUCCAUUGAAAGAAGAGUGGAUAAGGAAGAUGCGGUACACAUACACAAUGGAGUAUUACUCAGCCUUUAAAAGGAAAGAGCGGCAUUUGCAGCAACAUGGAUGGACCUAGAAAUUAUCAUGCUAAGUGAAGUCAAUCAGACAGUGAGACACCAACAUCAAAUGCUAUCACUUAUACAUGGAAUAUAAAAAAAGGACACAAAGAAUUUCAUUGCAGAACAGAUACUGACUCACAGACUUUGAAAAACUUACAGUUUCCAAAUGAAACAGGUUGGCAGGUGGGCUCGGGGUUUGGGAUGGAAAUGCUAUAAAAUCAGGUUGUGAUGAUCACUGUACAACUAUAAAUGUAAUAAAAUUCAUUGAGUAAUUUAAAAAAUGGUGUUUUGUCUAUAAGAUCUUUUUCCUUAAAAAGUGUUUGGAAGUUUUAGUAUUGUUACUAUCUGUUCUAAUAGGCAAUAUCCUCUUCUAGAAAUCAAAGAAAAAAGUUUCAUGUGUCACAUAUUUUUUAGUCAAGUGAAUUUUUAAAAAUUCACAUUAAAAAUAGUAAUAUCACAUUUUCUUCAAAUUUCAGAACGAGACAUCUGAAGUAAAAAACAAAAAAGCCAAGGUUGAGAAUCAUUAGCAACUACAUACGCUUGACUAGGCCCUUGGUUUUCCCAGCUCUCAUCUCCAAACUACUUCUGAGCAAAGUUACAGGGCACAAAGGAAAGAAAAACAUUGAAAAAACAUACUAAAUAACCUUAGGCUAUUAUGCUUUUCAAAUGUAAGGCUCAGGAUAAAAACAAAUCUCAUUUUUUAAAGUUAAGGGUAAGCCAAGGCUUCCUUGUUACCUGGACAGUUGCUUUGUUUUCUCGUUUAGAUGACACACUCUACCACUGACAUUGUAUAUUUACCACCUGUUGCCCUUUCCUCUUUUUUUUUUUUUUUUUUUUUUGUCUUUUUGCCAUUUCUUGGGCUGCUCCUGUGGCACAUGGAGGUGCGGGCCCUCAAAAGGCAAAAAGACAAACAACAACAACAACAAAAA
ensembl:lncRNA